AACUAUAUCUUUGGGGAAUCAAUGUUUUGAAAACAUAGCAGGAGUGUUCAAAUCACUUAAUAGUUU
rnacentral:tRNA from 1 species